UACGAAGGGGACUAGCGUUGUUCGGAAUCACUGGGCGUAAAGCGCACGUAGGCGGAUGUGUCAGUCAGGGGGUGAAAUCCCGGGGCUCAACCUCGGAACUGCCUUUUUGAUACAGCACGUCUCGAGUCCGGAAGAGGUGGGUGGAAUUCCUAGUGUAGAGGUGAAAUUCGUAGAUAUUAGGAAGAACACCGGUGGCGAAGGCG
rnacentral:rRNA from 1 species